GUGGGCGUUUGUUGGGGUCGGGUCGCGCGCCGGAGAAAAUGCAGAAUUUUCCAGUUGAUGAUGGUAGUGCUACUAACCUUCUGCAUAAACUUUGCACCAGGAUAACUAGGAAAAAGGGAGAUGAAGUGCUUCCAUUCUUCUACCGGACAAUCCAGCAAUUGUCUGGUGCUGAUGGCAUGGCAAAGAAGGAAUACAACAUGUUCAUCAUUGGGGAGCAGAUCAAGAAGUUGCUGGCCAAGAAUGGCAGAGAGCGUGAUGCUGUACACUUUGGAGAUCUGCUGAGAAGACUCCAACACAGCCCUGUGCUGCGCAGUCAGGCGUCCGUGCUCUGCUUCCUGCUGCA